CGGGUGAGUAAUACAUAGGAAUCUGCCCAGUAGCGGGGGACAACUUGGGGAAACUCAAGCUAAUACCGCAUACGCCCUACGGGGGAAAGCAGGGGAUCUUCGGACCUUGCACUAUUGGAUGAGCCUAUGUCAGAUUAGCUUGUUGGUGGGGUAAUGGCCUACCAAGGCGACGAUCUGUAGCUGGUCUGAGAGGACGAUCAGCCACACUGGGACUGAGACACGGCCCAG
rnacentral:rRNA from 1 species